rnacentral:rRNA from 1 species
GACGAACGCUGGCGGCGUGCUUAACACAUGCAAGUCGAACGGAAAGGCCCUGCUUUUGUGGGGUGCUCGAGUGGCGAACGGGUGAGUAACACGUGAGUAACCUGCCCUUGACUUUGGGAUAACUUCAGGAAACUGGGGCUAAUACCGGAUAGGAGCUCCUGCUGCAUGGUGGGGGUUGGAAAGUUUCGGCGGUUGGGGAUGGACUCGCGGCUUAUCAGCUUGUUGGUGGGGUAGUGGCUUACCGAGGCUUUGACGGGUAGCCGGCCUGAGAGGGUGACCGGCCACAUUGGGACUGAGAUACGGCCCAGACUCCUACGGGAGGCGGCAGUGGGGAAUAUUGCACAAUGGGCGGAAGCCUGAUGCAGCAACGCCGCGUGCGGGAUGACGGCCUUCGGGUUGUAAACCGCUUUCGCCUGUGACGAAGCGUGAGUGACGGUAAUGGGUAAAGAAGCACCGGCUAACUACGUG